CAAUGAUGUGUGUGCAUGUAAGCAUGCAUGUAUGUUGGGGACACGGGAUGGAAAAUACAGGGUCUGGAGCCUUGGCUUCUCCCUUGAACACAGCUGUGCCCAGAUCUGUUUGUGUCCCAGUGAUUUCAUGGUCGCCUCUUCCUUAUUCCUUAGUGCACCUCUCUCUACUAAACUGUAGUUUUUUCUUCUUAAAUGGACAAAUAUCCUUCCACCUGCCCUCCUGUCACUCACAAUGGAAGAGCUGAAAACAUUCUUCUCCAAGGAGAACAAAGAACAUCAGAGCUAUAUUCCCUCUCCUUUGCCUCUGACCUAGUUCUGGGCCAAUAAUAACCCCUCCUCUGUCUUCCCCCAUUCUAUGCUCUGGGGACACUGAUCUUUUGGACACCAACUUCAGCUUUCCCCAGUGCCUGCUGAGCACCUACACACUAUGGUCACUCCACAUAAUGACUUUACAUUUAAUUCACAUGUCACUUUUUCAGAUUUCUUUCCCCAAUAUCCUUUACUUUUCAAAUUUCUAAUAGUUCUACAUGCCUGGUGGACCCUUAACAACACAUUCUUCUGGUUUCUGAUCUACUUCUCUAGCUUUAGUUCAUAUACCACCUGUUUUAUGUGAUUUUACUGCAAACAAUUCUCCAUGAAAGUAUUAUAUAAUUUAAAUAAAUGACCAAGCAUUUCCCAUGUUACCAAAAUGAAAACAAAGCUUGCUUUUCUAAACCAAACUCCACUAUAAACAGCCAAAAGCCCUUGGCUCCCUUGGACACUGGCUUCUUUCCCCUUCCACUGGUGGUGAUGUGUGAGAGAUGACCACAGAGGCCUCUGAACCUGAACACAGAAGAAUGAUUCAAAAACACGUCUUUAACUCUUAAACUUUUCUUUCUACCAAUAAGUGCCUUUUCCUCAAGUGUGGGAUACAAAUCAUCUAGAAAUAUCUUUACAUUUCAGAAGCAGAACCUCUAAAAGUCUGGUGGUGACUCUGA
rnacentral:lncRNA from 1 species